AGCGAACGCUGGCGGCAGGCCUAACACAUGCAAGUCGAACGAAGUCUUCGGACUUAGUGGCGGACGGGUGAGUAACACGUGGGAACGUGCCUUUAGGUUCGGAAUAACUCAGGGAAACUUGUGCUAAUACCGAAUGUGCCCUUCGGGGGAAAGAUUUAUCGCCUUUAGAGCGGCCCGCGUCUGAUUAGCUAGUUGGUGAGGUAAAGGCUCACCAAGGCUACGAUCAGUAGCUGGUCUGAGAGGAUGACCAGCCACAUUGGGACUGAGACACGGCCCAAACUCCUACGGGAGGCAGCAGUGGGGAAUCUUGCGCAAUGGGCGAAAGCCUGACGUAGCCAUGCCGCGUGGAUGAUGAAGGUCUUAGGAUUGUAAAAUCCUUUCACCGGUGAAGAUAAUGGUUGUAGCCGGAGAAGAAGCCCCGGCUAACUUCGUGCCAGCCGCCGCGGUAAUAC
rnacentral:rRNA from 1 species